rnacentral:rRNA from 1 species
AGCAUGUGGUUUAAUCGAUGAUACGCGAAGAACCUUUACCGGGGUUUGACAUGCAGGUGAUCGCCGUUGAAAGACGGUUUCCUCUUCGGAGGCACCUGCACAGGUGCUGCAUGGCUGUCGUCAGCUCGUGUCGUGAGAUGUUGGGUUAAGUCCCGCAACGAGCGCAACCCUUAUCCCUAGUUGCCAUCAGGUAAAGCUGGGAACUCUGGGGAGACUGCCGGUGAUAAACCGGAGGAAGGCGGGGAUGACGUCAAGUCCUCAUGGCCCUUACAUCCCGGGCUACACACGUGCUACAAUGGCAGGUACAGAGGGCUGCGAAGCCGCGAGGUGGAGCGAAUCCCAGAAAACCUGUCUCAGUCCGGAUUGAAGUCUGCAACUCGACUCCAUGAAGUUGGAAUCGCUAGUAAUCGCAGAUCAGCACGCUGCGGUCGAAUACGUUCCCGGGCCUU